CACGUAGGGCGCGAGCGUUGUCCGGAAUUAUUGGGCGUAAAGAGCUCGUAGGCGGCCUGUUGCGUCCGCUGUGAAAGCCCGGGGCUUAACCCCGGGUCGGCAGUGGAUACGGGCAGGCUAGAGGUAGGUAGGGGAGAAUGGAAUUCCCGGUGUAGCGGUGAAAUGCGCAGAUAUCGGGAGGAACACCGGUGGCGAAGGCGGUUCUCUGGGCCGAGACUGACGCUGAGGCGCGAAAGCGUGGGGAGCAAACAGG
rnacentral:rRNA from 1 species